rnacentral:rRNA from 1 species
AGGGAUGCUACCGGGCGACCGGAUGCGGAUCUCGAAAGCCUGUCCCAGUUCGGACUGGAGUCUGCAACCCGACUCCACGAAGUUGGAUUCGCUAGUAAUCGCGCAUCAGCCAUGGCGCGGUGAAUACGUUCCCGGGCCUUGUACACACCGCCCGUCACACCAUGAGAGUCGGGAACACCCGAAGUCCGUAGCCUAACAGCAAUGAGGGCGCGGCCGAAGGUGGGUUCGAUAAUUGGGGUGAAGUCGUAACAAGGUAAC